GCGUAACCCGAUGUGUUAGGGGUUUAAGCGCGUCACUACGCACGUUUACGCGCCUGUGUGAAUGAGCU